rnacentral:rRNA from 1 species
AUACGUAGGUGGCAAGCGUUGUCCGGAUUUAUUGGGCGUAAAGCGAGCGCAGGCGGUUUCUUAAGUCUGAUGUGAAAGCCCCCGGCUCAACCGGGGAGGGUCAUUGGAAACUGGGAGGCUUGAGUGCAGAAGAGGAGAGUGGAAUUCCAUGUGUAGCGGUGAAAUGCGUAGAUAUAUGGAGGAACACCAGUGGCGAAGGCGACUCUCUGGGCUGAAACUGACGCUGAGGCUCGAAAGCGUGGGGAGCAAACAGGAUUAGAUACCCUGGUAGUCCACGCCGUAAACGAUGAGUGCUAAGUGUUGGAGGGUUUCCGCCCUUCAGUGCUGCAGCUAACGCAUUAAGCACUCCGCCUGGGGAGUACGACCGCAAGGUUGAAACUCAAAGGAAUUGACGGGG